AGCAGUGACACUUUCACUCUUCAAAUGGAAGUUCUAUUGGUGAUUUGUAUUACUUUAAUUUUCUCACCAGCUGCUGUACACUGCGACUCCAUCUCUCCUCUGCAGACAAAGGUCUCUGGGGAUGAAGAGGGAUCAGUGUCUCUUCAAUGUUCUUACUCCACAAGCAGUGCUGGUUAUCGUCUGUACUGGUAUCGCCAGUAUCCUCACACCCCACUGCAAUAUAUUUUAUAUAAAGGAGCUGGUACAUCAAGUGCAGAGCACACUGCAAGCUUCGCUAAAGGCCAUUUCAGUUGUGAAACAGAUAGAAGCUCCACCACCCUCACAAUUUCAGAUCUCAGCCUGAGUGACUCAGCCAUUUAUUUCUGCGCUCUGAGAUGGGACACGGUGUAG